rnacentral:lncRNA from 1 species
AAUAGAGAACUGGUUCACUUCUCGAUUUUGGUAUAGUUUUCAGCAAGUAAUGAGAACGAAACCAUCCCUUAGCACCGCAUUCCACCAUCAAACCGAUGGACAAUCAGAGAUAACGAUUCGCACACUAGAGGAUAUGCUCUGAGUUUGUAUUCUACACUUCGGGGGCUAUUGAGAAUAUCACCUACCUCUGAUAGAGUUUAUCUACAAUAAUAACUACCAGACAAAUAUCGACAUGGUUUCAU